rnacentral:rRNA from 1 species
GACGAACGCUGGCGGCGUGCUUAACACAUGCAAGUCGAGCGGUAAGGCCUUUCGGGGUACACGCGCGGCGAACGGGUGAGUAACACGUGGGUGAUCUGCCCUGCACUUCGGGAUAAGCCUGGGAAACUGGGUCUAAUACCGGAUAUGACCUCCUAUCGCAUGGUGGGUGGUGGAAAGAUUUAUCGGUGCAGGAUGGGCCCGCGGCCUAUCAGCUUGUUGGUGGGGUAAUGGCCUACCAAGGCGACGACGGGUAGCCGACCUGAGAGGGUGACCGGCCACACUGGGACUGAGACACGGCCCAGACUCCUACGGGAGGCAGCAGUGGGGAAUAUUGCACAGUGGGCGAAAGCCUGAUGCAGCGACGCCGCGUGAGGGAUGACGGCCUUCGGGUUGUAAACCUCUUUCAGCAGGGACGAAGCGCAAGUGACGGUACCUGCAGAAGAAGCACCGGCUAACUACGUG